rnacentral:rRNA from 1 species
GACGUAGGGCGCAAGCGUUGUCCGGAUUUAUUGGGCGUAAAGAGCUCGUAGGCGGCCUGUCGCGUCGUCCGUGAAAACCUGGGGCUUAACUCUGGGCGUGCGGUCGAUACGGGCAGGCUGGAGGCAGGUAGGGGAGAUCGGAAUUCCUGGUGUAGCGGUGAAAUGCGCAGAUAUCAGGAGGAACACCGGUGGCGAAGGCGGAUCUCUGGGCCUGUACUGACGCUGAGGAGCGAAAGCGUGGGGAGCGAAC